GCGGAGUUGGCAUAUGGGUUGUGCUCCAGCCUUCCAAGCUGGCGAAGCGAGUUCGAGUCUCGCACUCCGCUCCA
rnacentral:tRNA from 1 species